rnacentral:rRNA from 1 species
GACGAACGCUGGCGGCGUGCUUAACACAUGCAAGUCGAACGGAAAGGCCCUGCUUUUGUGGGGUGCUCGAGUGGCGAACGGGUGAGUAACACGUGAGUAACCUGCCCUUGACUUUGGGAUAACUUCAGGAAACUGGGACUAAUACCGGAUAGGAGCUCCUGCUGCAUGGUGGGGGUUGGAAAGUUUCGGCGGUUGGGGAUGGACUCGCGGCUUAUCAGCUUGUUGGUGGGGUAGUGGCUUACCAAGGCUUUGACGGGUAGCCGGCCUGAGAGGGUGACCGGCCACAUUGGGACUGAGAUACGGCCCAGACUCCUACGGGAGGCAGCAGUGGGGAAUAUUGCACAAUGGGCGGAAGCCUGAUGCAGCAACGCCGCGUGCGGGAUGAAGGCCUUCGGGUUGUAAACCGCUUUCGCCUGUGACGAAGCGUGAGUGACGGUAAUGGGUAAAGAAGCACCGGCUAACUACGUG